CGCGUAGGCGGCGGGGCAAGUCGGGUGUGAAAUCUCAGGGCUCAACCCUGAAACUGCACUCGAUACUGCUCUGCUUGAGGACUGGAGAGGAGACUGGAAUUCACGGUGUAGCAGUGAAAUGCGUAGAUAUCGUGAGGAAGACCAGUGGCGAAGGCGGGUCUCUGGACAGUUCCUGACGCUGAGGCGCGAAGGCCAGGGGGAGCAAAACGG
rnacentral:rRNA from 1 species